rnacentral:rRNA from 1 species
UCUGGUAGCAAUAGCAAGUGUGAACCACCUGUUCCCAUCUCGAACACAGAAGUGAAACCGCUUAGCGCCGAUGGUACUGCAUCUUAAGAUGUGGAAGAGUAGGACACUGCCAGGC